rnacentral:rRNA from 1 species
AUGCUGGAGGUAUCAGAAGUGCGAAUGCUGACAUAAGUAACGAUAAUGCGGGUGAAAAACCCGCACGCCGGAAGACCAAGGGUUCCUGUCCAACGUUAAUCGGGGCAGGGUGAGUCGACCCCUAAGGCGAGGCAGAAAUGCGUAGUCGAUGGGAAACGGGUUAAUAUUCCCGUACUGGUGAUAAUUGCGAUGGGGGGACGGAGAAGGCUAGGCUAUCCGGGCGACGGUUGUCCCGGUUUAAGGAUGUAGGCAGGUGAAUUAGGCAAAUCCGGUUCACUAUAUGCUGAGGUCCGACGACGAGUCACUACGGUGAUGAAGUAGCUCAUGCCCCGCUUCCAGGAAAAGCCUCUAAGCUCUAGAUUAUCAUUAAUCGUACCCCAAACCGACACAGGUGGUCAGGUAGAGAAUACUCAGGCGCUUGAGAGAACUCGGGUGAAGGAACUAGGCAAAAUGGUGCCGUAACUUCGGGAGAAGGCACGCUGGCGCUAGGUGAAGUCCCUCGCGGAUGGAGCUGAAGCCAGUCGCAGAUACCAGCUGGCUGCAACUGUUUAUUAAAAACACAGCACUGUGCAAACACGAAAGUGGACGUAUACGGUGUGACGCCUGCCCGGUGCUGGAAGGUUAAUUGAUGGGGUUAUCCGUAAGGAGAAGCUCUUGAUCGAAGCCCCAGUAAACGGCGGCCGUAACUAUAACGGUCCUAAGGUAGCGAAAUUCCUUGUCGGGUAAGUUCCGACCUGCACGAAUGGCGUAAUGAUGGCCAGGCUGUCUCCACCCGAGACUCAGUGAAAUUGAACUCGCUGUGAAGAUGCAGUGUACCCGCGGCAAGACGGAAAGACCCCGUGAACCUUUACUAUAGCUUGACACUGAACAUUGAGCCUUGAUGUGUAGGAUAGGUGGGAGGCUUUGAAGUGUGGACGCCAGUCUGCAUGGAGCCAACCUUGAAAUACCACCCUUUAAUGUUUGAUGUUCUAACGUAGCCCCGUUAUCCGGGGUGCGGACAGUGUCUGGUGGGUAGUUUGACUGGGGCGGUCUCCUCCCAAAGAGUAACGGAGGAGCACGAAGGUUGGCUAAGCAUGGUCGGACAUCAUGCGGUUAGUGCAAAGGCAUAAGCCAGCUUGACUGCGAGAGUGACGGCUCGAGCAGGUACGAAAGUAGGUCUUAGUGAUCCGGUGGUUCUGAAUGGAAGGGCCAUCGCUCAACGGAUAAAAGGUACUCCGGGGAUAACAGGCUGAUACCGCCCAAGAGUUCAUAUCGACGGCGGUGUUUGGCACCUCGAUGUCGGCUCAUCACAUCCUGGGGCUGAAGUAGGUCCCAAGGGUACGGCUGUUCGCCGUUUAAAGUGGUACGCGAGCUGGGUUUAGAACGUCGUGAGACAGUUCGGUCCCUAUCUGCCGUGGGCGUUGGAAGAUUGAAAGGGGCUGCUCCUAGUACGAGAGGACCGGAGUGGACGCACCACUGGUGUUCGGGUUGUCAUGCCAAUGGCAUUGCCCGGUAGCUAAGUGCGGAAGAGAUAACCGCUGAAAGCAUCUAAGCGGGAAACUUGCCUUGAGAUGAGUCUUCCCUGAC